rnacentral:rRNA from 1 species
ACGGGUGAGUAACGCGUAUCCAACCUUCCCUAUACUAGAGAAUAGCCCGGCGAAAGUCGGAUUAAUGCUCUAUGUUCUUCUUUGAUGGCAUCUGACGAGAAGCAAAGGUUUACCGGUAUAGGAUGGGGAUGCGUCUGAUUAGGUUGUUGGCGGGGUAACGGCCCACCAAGCCUACGAUCAGUAGGGGUUCUGAGAGGAAGGUCCCCCACAUUGGUACUGAGACACGGACCAAACUCCUACGGGAGGCAGCAGUGAGGAAUAUUGGUCAAUGGGCGAGAGCCUGAACCAGCCAAGUAGCGUGCAAGGAUGACUGCCCUAUGGGUUGUAAACUGCUUUUAUGCGGGAAUAAAGUCAGGUACGUGUACCUGUUUGUAUGUACCGCAUGAAUAAGGACCGGCUAAUUCCGUGCCAGCCGCCGC